rnacentral:rRNA from 1 species
CAGUCGCCGCGGGAAUACGAAGGGUGCAAGCGUUACUCGGAAUUACUGGGCGUAAAGCGUGCGUAGGUGGUGGUUUAAGUCCGUUGUGAAAGCCCUGGGCUCAACCUGGGAAUUGCAGAGGAUACUGGGUCACUAGAGUGUGGUAGAGGAUAGUGGAAUUUCCGGUGUAGCAGUGAAAUGCGUAGAGAUCGGAAGGAACAUCUGUGGCGAAGGCGACUAUCUGGGCCAACACUGACACUGAGGCACGAAAGCGUGGGGAGCAAACAGGAUUAGAUACCCGAGUAGUCCCUGUCUCUUAUAC